rnacentral:ncRNA from 1 species
UAGCGCAGUUGGCAAACCCGGAGUGAUCCGGCGACGCAAAGCUAUAGGGACUCCCCUGCGGGAGUUUGCCAGUUGCCCGU